UACGUAGGGUGCGAGCGUUACUCGGAAUUACUGGGCGUAAAGUGUGCGCAGGCGGCCAAGCAAGUCGAGUGUGAAAGCCCCGGGCUUAACUUGGGAAUUGCGCUCGAAACUACUUGGCUGGAGUGUGGCAGAGGAAGGUGGAAUUCCACGUGUAGCGGUGAAAUGCGUAGAGAUGUGGAGGAACACCAAUGGCGAAGGCAGCCUUCUGGGCCAACACUGACGCUCAUGCACGAAAGCGUGGGGAGCAAACAGG
rnacentral:rRNA from 1 species